rnacentral:rRNA from 1 species
GGAUUCAACGCCGGAAAUCUCACCGGGGCGACAGCAAUAUGAAGGUCAGGCUGAAGACCUUACCCGAUUAGCUGAGAGGUGGUGCAUGGCCGUCGUCAGUUCGUACUGUGAAGCAUCCUGCUAAGUCAGGCAACGAGCGAGACCCACGUCCACAGUUGCCAGCAUACCCUCCGGGGUGAUGGGUACACUGUGGAGACCGCCGCUGCUAAAGCGGAGGAAGGAGUGGGCAACGGUAGGUCAGUAUGCCCCGAAUCUCCCGGGCUACACGCGGGCUACAAUGGUUGGUACAAUGGGCAUCUACCCCGAAAGGGGAAGGAAAUCUCUUAAAGCCAAUCGUAGUUCGGAUUGAGGGCUGCAACUCGCCCUCAUGAAGCUGGAAUCCGUAGUAAUCGCGUUUCAACAGAACGCGGUGAAUACGUCCCUGCUCCUU